AUACUUAAUCUAGUUGGAGAGGUACUGUGAUCAGGAAGGUGAUUUUUCUUGGGAGAGACUAAGCCAUUACAAGCUGCCUGUUCUGACCCCUUCAGUUUUCCCACAUUUGGGAAACUUGACUACAGAAUUUGUGGUAGUGGGGACUUCACUAAUGCUGUCACUUU
rnacentral:snRNA from 1 species